UACAGAGGUCUCAAGCGUUGUUCGGAUUCAUUGGGCGUAAAGGGUGCGUAGGUGGCGGGGCAAGUCUGGUGUGAAAUCCCGGGGCUCAACCCUGGAACUGCACUGGAUACUGCCUUGCUAGAGUACUGGAGAGGGAACUGGAAUUUACGGUGUAGCAGUGAAAUGCGUAGAUAUCGUAAGGAAGACCAGUGGCGAAGGCGGCGAACUGGACAGUAACUGACACUCAACUGCGAAAGCGUGGGGAGCAAACAGG
rnacentral:rRNA from 1 species